CACCUGCAGGACCACAGCAUGUUGGUUUUUUUUUACCGUUUUCUCGUGACGAGGUCAUGUGGUUAUCAGGAGAAAACGAGUCUUCUGAUAAAAGACCCAAGAGGCCACAGUCCCUCCAUCCUGCAGCUCUCAUGCAUACUUCUUUACCCGUGUAAACGGCCUGAUCCCCCCAGCUGAUCACUACUGAGCUGCAGUCGCCUGCGCAGCUGCAGCCGCACUGAUUUGAAUGUUGUUAAUGACGGACAACGGUAGACCGCCAUUUUAAUCGAUCCGUUCUUCUGGCGUUUGACGUUUUCUCUGACAAACUGCUUUGUUUGGCUGUGGAUUGUAGGAAAACCAACAGAGCAUUGAAGCGGACCGAGAUGGGCUGGGUGACUGUCUAGAGGUUUGAAAUCAGUGACUGGACGUACGACUGCGUGUGAACUACUUUCCUGUUCUUUAAGACCUAAGAAAGCCUCUGGAUAAAAGACAUCUGCAACUUCAAAUAAAACAAAAAAAGCAUCAAAAAUCAUAAAAAAAUGUACAUUUGAGGUAAAAUCCUUGCAGUUGGUGAAAUGUUACAGUUUUUACACAAAAUAAUUCAUGUUAGAAAUUGUUUACUGCAGCUUUACUAAAUAAAGUCUCAUCUUUAUUU